rnacentral:rRNA from 1 species
GGUGUUGAUGACGUCGAGGGUACACCCGUUCCCAUCCCGAACACGGUAGUUAAGCUCGAUAGUGCCGAAGAUACUUGGCUGGCAACGGCCCGGGAAAAUAGGGAGAUGCC